CCAGGGGCUCUGGAAGUUGGGAGCCACAUGUGGAGUCCCUGGAGUGCCUGGAGCUCCCAAGGCAGCCACGUGUCCUCCCUGUCCACCAUCCAGGCCCCCUGUGGUUCAGCUCCCGCCAGUCGCCCAGUCCUGCCGCAGAAGUGGGGCGGCCUUGAUUAAGCAGCCAGUGAAGGGGAACGCCCCAGUUUGCAGUGGCUGAGUCAUCCUGACAUCUCCCUGGUGCUGGACCCCAUCGGGGGGCUGAGGGCGGGGUAGCGGGGCGCGGGUGGACACUGGAGAGCCCCUCUUGGGCAGGUCCUUCAACAUAUCAGUGUAGCUCCCAUGUUGUCAAAAAUAAUAACAAAAACAGAAUAGAGGUGGCAGCUACAUUCUAGGUGCCGUUCUGAAUCUGUGCUUACACACGUUAACUCAUUUCUUCCUCCUAACAAUCCCUCAAGGUGGGCACUGUUACUCUUCUCCAUAGACAGAUGAGGAAGACGGAAGCACAGAGAGGUUGAGCAACUUGCCCCAGGUCACACAGCCAACAAGUCGGCAGAGCCGGGAUUUGAACCCCAUGCAGCCUCAGUCCAGCAUCCUUGCUCUUAACCUCUGAGAAAAGGCAGUCAAGAGCCCUGGGGUGUGUGUGUGCGGGGGGUGUCUCUGUAGCGAUUCAGGUGGCCCCCGCAGCAGAUGGACUGCUGUCCAAACAAACAUCCCUGACAAUCGGGCAGAGCUCCUUCCAGGCGUUAGGAAUCCAGGUUGUGGCAGCCAACAGCUUGUGGGCUGUGUGAAGUGACCUCAGGCCAGUGAAGGCCCCUCCCUGUGCCUCAGUUUCCCUCUCUGCAAAAUAGGGCUCAGAUCACAGCAACUCCGCUGACAGGGGACGGCAGGUUGGAGGAGACAAGGAUGCUACUGACUUGCUUACUUAGCAGAGGGCCUGGCACGGGGCGCCAACUCUAAAUAGUCGGAGCAGCUGUUAUUAUCCCCCCGACAUCCCCUCAUUUGCUGAUCACGGGGGUUAAUUAUAAGCGGCAUUAAAUUAUACACACACAGACGCGCCAACCUCGCUUCCCCAGAACCCCUGAAUUUCCGCAAACUCUCAAUUACCCACGUGACAGCGCGACGAUGGGCCAUCCUCCCAGCCUCUCUCCCCACAGCCUGCCUCAUCCGAGGGUCCCAGGCUUCCAGAGCCAUGGCUUCUCCGCCCGCCGGAUACCCCUCUGGGUGUCCAGGAGCGGAAGGAAGGAUGCAUGCGACUGACUGCGGACGCGUUGAGAGCCAGGGGAGGCAUGUUUACCCACAGCAUCUCAUGUCAAGGCUCGCCGCGACGCAGACUGCGACUGUACUGAUCUUAGAGAUGAGAGAACACAGAGAGGUCAGGCAACCCGCCCUAGUUUGCACAGCUCAAGUGAGGAGGGUGGCUCAAGUCAGGGCUCUGACCUGGAACCCAGAGGGGUAACCUCAUUCUGUAAGUGAGGAAGCUCCUGCACGGAGAACUGAAAGGGAAGAGGGGAAGUCAUCCAGGAAGGAAGGAAGGCAGGCAGGCAGGUGAGAUCUGGGAGAAAAAGGGGAAUUUUCAGUUCUCCAGGUAGGGGGAACAGGAGACAGCUGGCCCUUCCUAUAAGGGGCUUAUGGCAAAGAUCAAAAACAACUUAAAAGGAGCAAGGCCACCCAGAUAACAUAAAGAGUACGAGAUGAAAUCUGUCCCCAUGAAACGGGACAUUUGUGAUCCAGCCCCAGUUACGGCGAUGGGGACCGGAGGAGGGAGUCCCCAUGAUCCAAAAAUCCAGGCUCUGAACCCCCAACCAGGGUGGGAUCCGCGGGAAUCAGAAGGAAACAGGAAGCCGCACAGAAACCUGGGUUUAUUUUCAGAUGUGGAAUAUCCCCUCGGCCUCUGCGGGGCGCAGAGGGUGCCUUGAUUCCGGGGAACAGAAGAGGGGAUUCCACGGCUAGCCCAGAAUAGCACCAGCCCCAAGGUCCAGUCUGGCCAGGCCACGAUGUUGGGGGACCGGCAGCUCCAUGGAGGAGGAGGAGGAGGAAAAAAAAAAAAGAGAGAGACAAAAAUAAAGCGAUGUGAAAGUGGAGGGCCUGUCCGUGAAUCACUCCUACCCGUUAAUUUUCGCCUUUGGAGAAGUGUAAGCCAAUUGAUUUUUCAAAUUCCCCACACACAACCCCCUCCCCAGCGCUUCUCAAAUAUCAGCCAGAGACAAGACAGAAAUGGUACGUCGGGUUUUUUUUUUUCUUCCCUUUUUGGUUGAGAGUCUUUUCUUUCCUUAAAGGAAAAGGGGGGGGGGCGGGGGGGAAACCACACACUCCACACUCUUGAACCUCAGGGUUAGAGAGACCCAGGUGUCACCUGUUUCCUAGACAUUUUGGGGCUGCCACUCUCUGCGUGAGACAACAGCCACCCUUUCCCUCGAUCACAUCCCCUACACUUCACUUCCUCUCUCCGUGUCCCCCUUCCUCAAUUCAGAAUGUCACCUGGUGAUAAGAUGACAUGCAUUUGAGCCUCAAUCCCCUUCCAGCAUCCCCUCUCCUCUGCCCCGCAAGCCACAAGCUGGCAGCUUUCCGAUUCCAGAGCAAGCUUGCCACACGAAUCCUGCGAGGAACAGCAGUUAUGUCUUAAUCUCCUCUCCUCCUGUCCCCACCGGAGGCUGAGCCACUCUGCCUGGGAAGGACGGAGGAAGGGCAACCUGCACAGGCUUUGCCCGAGAAGGGUUCUCAUCCUCCUUGCAAAUUCUAAGAGGACACCCACCCAUUGGAAGGGUUUUCCCUCCCGCUCGCCCCCAUCCCGAACUCUCUCCACGCCCCGCUUCUUCCCCCACGCACACGGCGGCUGCACCGUCACAGAAAGCAGCCGCUGGAAUAAUCAGCGAAGCCACAGGUCUCCCCAUCUUGGCAAGUGGAGGUGUGCGCUGCCCUCAGACAUCUGUGAACCGCUGUUCAACGCCAACCCCGAAGGCAGAAGGGGAAACCAAGUCACCUCCCAGAAAGACGUUUGAUGAGCAGAGAUAGAUUUGCCUCCAGACUGGUACCAGGUCUGGGGAAACCCAGGCAGAGCCCCAGGCUCUAUGCGACCCAAAGAAGAAAAAAAUGGGUGCACAGUGAUGGCUCCAGGUCUCCCCACCCAGAUGCUACCACGAAAUCCCUGGCAUCCACGAAGCUUCCCCCUGUUCCAUGGUGGAAAUUGGGGGAAAAUGGACUUGUGUCUCCAAGCAGGGUCCAUGGACACUGGACGAUGCCUGAAAUCCCCUGGGAGGCAGGGAAAAAAGGCGCACUGAACGCUCAACCGGGGUAUAAGGAGUGAUUUUUUUUUCUCUGCUGGCAGCAGGCAGGAACCUGGGGUUUGAAUGUCCCCUUCUCUGUCGCCACCUCACGCAGACUUCAGAGGCUCUCAAGGUUUCCUGGAGAGGGGGAAAUCGUCCCCGGAGCUGACCUGCCAACCAGUAGCACCCUCCAGCGCCUCAGCCGGGCCACGCCAAAAUGACCUGUCACCCAUCUCCCGCGGGGAGUGGGGAGCGGGCCAGUCCACCGCCUCUUGGGACGGCAUCUCUGGACGGCCACUGACAGUACCAGUCUCUGUCACCCCCUGGGGGGUUAGGGGCAAUGUCAUCGGCCAGGGUGGCAGAAAUAGAAAAGUGCGUGAGCUCACCAGGCAGCCUGGGUCUCCUGCGACGUUUUGUUUGCCUGAGCCCAAUUAGAACAACUCUCAGGAUGAUGGAGUAUGGCGGGCGGUGGCCCCCAGGGGGCUGGGAGGCCUAGCCCCCAUGCAGAAGUGCACCGUCAUGAUGAGGGUGUCCCCCGGGCCUGGGGAACAGGGCAGGACCCUGCUUCCCGGAGGGAAAUAAUGAAGACUCCGCCAGCCUGCCAGCCAGAAAGAGAUGCCCCACGGAAGGCUUUGUGGAGGGCAGCGGGGGGGUAGGGGAGGGAUGCCCAGGUGGGGACUCAGUCAGGCCCAAGCUGGGGGGCUGUGGGAUUUGAGGGCGGGAAGCAGCCGCCCCCAGCCCCAGCUGCCUGCCUUCCACCGCCAAAAUAUCAGCUGGCAAAGAAAGAAGAGCAGAGGGACAGAAGGCAGGCGCGAUUGGCAGGGGGAGGGGGGCACAAAGGAAGGGACCCUGGGAGGGGGAGGGGACUUAUGCAAAUGGCAGAUUCGACCAAGUCCCUGGGCCAUUAAUAAACGCUCCAGCAGCUGCCGCUGGUAUCGCAGGAGCAGAGGAGCGGGAUGGCUUCCUUCUCCCGGGCGAAAGGCGGCAGAAAGAGGGAAGAAGGGCGCCCCAGACAAAGAGGCGCCGUCACCCUCUGCACCCCAAGGACAGCAGCGAUAGGGGGCCACCCAGAGGAGGCCAGAAUCCCAGCAGCCAAAGUCCGGGUGGUGGCGGACGGGAGCCCGGAGCGUGUGGGUCCCUGUCCUUGGGACCCUAGGGGUCUCUUCCUGCCUCCUCCGGCUUCUAGGUAUCAUCCCUGCUGCUCAGCCG
rnacentral:lncRNA from 1 species